GACAGCAGUAGCCGCGGGAAUACAGAGGGUGCGAGCGUUAAUCGGAUUUACUGGGCGUAAAGCGUGCGUAGGCGGCUUUUUAAGUCGGAUGUGAAAUCCCUGAGCUUAACUUAGGAAUUGCAUUCGAUACUGGGAAGCUAGAGUAUGGGAGAGGAUGGUAGAAUUCCAGGUGUAGCGGUGAAAUGCGUAGAGAUCUGGAGGAAUACCGAUGGCGAAGGCAGCCAUCUGGCCUAAUACUGACGCUGAGGUACGAAAGCAUGGGGAGCAAACAGGAUUAGAUACCCCAGUAGUCCCUGUCUCUUAUAC
rnacentral:rRNA from 1 species